rnacentral:rRNA from 1 species
AUACGGAGGAUGCGAGCGUUAUCCGGAUUUAUUGGGUUUAAAGGGUGCGUAGGCGGGCUGUUAAGCGUGAGGUGAAAGCUCGGGGCUCAACCCCGGAACUGCCUCGCGAACUGGCGGUCUUGAAUGUCCGUGCCGUGGGAGGGAUGUGUGGUGUAGCGGUGAAAAGCAUAGAGAUCACACAGAAUAUCGAUUGCGAAGGUCUCUCACGAACGGAUGAUGGCCGCUGUGGAAAGAAAGCGUCGGGAUCAAACAGGAGUAGAUACCCUGGUAGUCCACGCAGUAAACGAUGAUAACUAACCGCUGGUGCGCAAGUAUCAGUGGCCAAGCGAAAGCGAUAAGUUAUCCACCUGGGGAGUACGACCGCAAGGUUGAAACUCAAAUGAAUUGACGGGG